AGAAAAUAUGAGUCUGUUGUUGUCAGUUGAUGUUAAACUUCUACUAAAUCCUCCUUAAACCUCACACACACUGCAAGUAUCCUCUCAUCUUAGUAAGAACUAAAAAGCAAACAUGCAUCACUCCUGCUAGGGACGAGAAAACACAGAUAAUCUAGCAGAUAUGAUUCAAACAGGCAAUUCACAAAGACACUUACUUUGCACUACAGCAGGUAUUUUCUAUUUUUGAUAAGUGAGUGUGUAUAUGUAAAUGUUGGAUUGGAUACAAUAAUGAAGGAGGACUACCUCCAAAUUCUUUAACUUCACCACAAAUCAACAGCUAGACAAUUGAAACUUUUGAAACAAUUGCAUGUUCCAACAGGACAAUGAUCCCAAACACAUAUCAAAACUAGUUUUGAAAUGGAUAAAGUAUGCUAACAUUAAGCUUCUAGAAUG